GGGCCGCGUGGCCGACGCGGCCGCCCGGCUGGGGGCCGAGCGCAGGAACAACCACGUCGUGGUGCGGGUCAUGGCGACCCCC
rnacentral:tRNA from 1 species